AUAUCAAUAAGCGGAGGAAAAGAAACUAACAAGGAUUCCCCUAGUAACUGCGAGUGAAGCGGGAAAAGCUCAAAUUUAAAAUCUGGCAGUCUUUUUUUUCUUCUUUGGCUGUCCGAGUUGUAAUCUAGAGAAGUGCUUACCUGCACUGGACCAUGUAUAAGUCUCCUGGAAUGGAGCGUCGCAGAGGGUGAGAAUCCCGUCUUUGACAUGGACUGCCAGUGUGUUGUGGUGUGCUCUCAAAGAGUCGAGUUGUUUGGGAAUGCAGCUCUAAAUGGGUGGUAAACUCCAUCUAAAGCUAAAUAUUGGCGAGAGACCGAUAGUGAACAAGUACCGUGAGGGAAAGAUGAAAAGGACUUUGGAAAGAGAGUUAAACAGUAU
rnacentral:rRNA from 1 species